rnacentral:rRNA from 1 species
ACAAAAGUGAGCAAGGGAAAUAUUUAUAGCUCUAGGAUCGGCCUGUACGGUAUCAGCUAGUUGGUGAGGUAAUGGCUCACCAAGGCAAUGACACCUAACUGGUUUGAGAGGAUGAUCAGUCACACUGGAACUGAGACACGGUCCAGACUCCUACGGGAGGCAGCAGUGGGGAAUAUUGCACAAUGGACGAAAGUCUGAUGCAGCAACGCCGCGUGGAGGAUGACACAUUUCGGUGCGUAAACUCCUUUUAUAUAGGAAGAUAAUGACGGUACUAUAUGAAUAAGCACCGGCUAACUCCGUGCCAGCAGCCGCGGUAAUACGGAGGGUGCAAGCGUUACUCGGAAUUACUGGGCGUAAAGAGCGUGUAGGCGGGUAAAUAAGUUGGAAGUGAAAUCCUAUGGCUCAACCAUAGAACUGCUUCCAAAACUGUUAACCUAGAAUGUGGGAGAGGUAGAUGGAAUUUCUGGUGUAGGGGUAAAAUCCGUAGAUAUCAGAAGGAAUACCGAUUGCGAAGGCGAUCUACUGGAACACUAUUGACGCUGAGACGCGAAAGCGUGGGGAGCAAACAGGAUUAGAUACCCUGGUAGUCCACGCCCUAAACGAUGUACACUAGUUGUUGUGAGGCUAGACCUUGCAGUAAUGCAGUUAACACAUUAAGUGUACCGCCUGGGGAGUACGGUCGCAAGAUUAAAACUCAAAGGAAUAGACGGGGACCCGCACAAGCGGUGGAGCAUGUGGUUUAAUUCGACAUACGCGAAGAACCUUACCUGGUCUUGACAUAGAAAGAACUUUCCAGAGAUGGAUUGGUGCCUGCUUGCAGGAGCUUUCAUACAGGUGCUGCACGGCUGUCGUCAGCUCGUGUCGUGAGAUGUUGGGUUAAGUCCCGCAACGAGCGCAACCCUCGUCGUUAGUUGCUAACAGUUCGGCUGAGAACUCUAACGAGACUGCCUACGCAAGUAGGAGGAAGGUGAGGACGACGUCAAGUCAUCAUGGCCCUUACGACCAGGGCUACACACGUGCUACAAUGGGGUAUACAAAGAGCAGCGAUACGGUGACGUGGAGCGAAUCUCAAAAAUGCCUCCCAGUUCGGAUAGUAGUCUGCAACUCGACUACUUGAAGUUGGAAUCGCUAGUAAUCGUAGAUCAGUUAUGCUACGGUGAAUACGUUCCCGGGUCUUGUACUCACCGCCCGUCACACCAUGGGAGUUGAAUUCAUUCGAAGCGGGGAUGCUAAAAUAGCUACCUUCCACA